UACGGAGGAUCCGAGCGUUAUCCGGAUUUAUUGGGUUUAAAGGGUGCGUAGGCGGUUUGAUAAGUUAGAGGUGAAAUGUCGGGGCUCAACCCAGAAACUGCCUCUAAUACUGUUGGACUAGAGAAUAGUUGCGGUAGGCGGAAUGUAUGGUGUAGCGGUGAAAUGCUUAGAGAUCAUACAGAACACCGAUUGCGAAGGCAGCUUACCAAACUAUAUCUGACGUUGAGGCACGAAAGCGUGGGUAGCAAACAGG
rnacentral:rRNA from 1 species